GUUGCUGUUGUGGUUGUCGUAGGAGCUGCAGUUGGCGUGGGAGCUACAGUUGUUGUAGGUGUUGCUGUUGUGGUUGUCGUAGGCGCUGAAGUUGUAGUUGUUGUAGAAGGAGCUGCAGUCGCAGUGGUUGUAAGAAUAGCAGUUGUUGUUGCAGGAACUGCAGUGGUUGUCGUAAUAGGUUCUGGNNNNNNNNNNGUAGUUAGAGCUGCAGUGGUUGUCGUAGAGGCAGCUGCUGUGGAUGAAGUAGUUGAUACAGUUGUUGUAGGAGCUGCAGUUGUCGUGGGAGCUACAGUUGCUGUAGGUGUUGCUGUUGUGGUUGUCGUAGGCGCUGAAGUUGUAGUUGUUGUAGGCGCUGAAGUUGUAGUUGUUGUAGAAGGUGCUGCAGUUGCUGUGGUUGUAAGAAUAGCAGUUGUUGUUGCAGGAACUGCAGUGGUUGUCGUAAUAGGUUCUGGAAUUGUAGUGGUCGUUGGAGCAGCAGUUGUUGUAGUUAGAGCAGCUGUGGUUGUCGUAGAGGCAGCUGCUGUGGUUGACGUAGAAGCUACAGUUGUUGUAUCAGGACCUGUAGUUGUGAUUGUUGUAGUAAGUACUGCAGGUGGAGUGGUCGUCGGAGCUACAGUUGUAGGAACUUCAGGUGUUGUAGUAGGUGCUGUUGUUGUGGUUGUCGUAGGAGAUAAAGUUGUAGUUGUUGUAGAAGGUGCUGCAGUCACUGUGGUCGUAAGAACAGCAGUUGUUGUAGUAGGAGUUGCACUGGUUGUCGUAGUAGGUUGUGGAGUUGCAGUGGUCGUAGUAGCAGCAGUUGUUGUAGUUAGGGCUGCAGUGGUUGUCGUAGAUGCUAAAGCUGUUGAAGGAGCUGCAGUUUUCGUGGGAGCUACAGUUGUUGUGGGUGCUGUUGUUGUGGUUGUCAUAGGAGCUGAAGUUGUAGUUGUUGUAGAUGGUGCUGCAGUCGUUGUUGUCGUAAGAACAGCAGUUGUUGUAGUAGAAGCUGCACUGGUUGUCGUAGUAGGUUCUGGAGUUGUAGUGGUCGUAGGAACAGCAGUUGUUGUAGUUAGGGCUGCAGUGGCUGUCGUAGGGGCAGCAGCUGUGGUUGAAGUAGAUGCUAAAGUUGUUGUGGGAGCUGCAGUUGUAGUGGGAGCUACAGUUGUUGAAGGAGUUGUUGUAGCAAGAGCUGCAGUGGUUGUCGUAAUAGGUUCUGGAGUUGUAGUGGUCGUUUGA
rnacentral:lncRNA from 13 species